rnacentral:lncRNA from 1 species
CUCAUACCUCCUUACUUCCAUACCUUACCUUCUUUCACUUCAAUCACUUAUUCACAACUUCUUCACAUUUUCUUCUCAUCUUAAGACUUUUAAAUGGAGUAUCUUAAUCCAGGGCCAAUUGACACAUCACUACUUACAAUGCAAAAUGACCAUAUAUCAAAUGAUGUAUGGAAUGGCAUUGAAUGUAGUUUUCGACCGAGAUAUUGUUUCUGGCAAUCACUACCUUCCGAGCCGGUGUUACAAGUUAUUUGCACCACUGCUUUUGGUAAC